CCGCCGACCAGAGAAGACACUCCAAGUGCGAAUGCACUAAAAAGACUGUGUUUGACUCUAAAUCAAAACACCUAGUAGUUGCCCAAGGCAGCCCCCAAGCUUAAAUACCACCCCGCGGGAUCCCAACUCAUUACCGCCGACCAGAGAAGACACUCCAAGUGCGAAUGCACUAAAAAGACUGUGUUUGACUCUAAAUCAAAACACCUAGUAGUUGCCCAAGGCAGCCCCCAAGCUUAAAUACCACCCCGCGGGAUCCCAACUCAUUACCGCCGAC